rnacentral:lncRNA from 1 species
GAGGAACGUCAUAUACAUAACAAUCAUGGUUGUUAUCAAUCAUGGAUACUAUGAGCCAAAUGAAGUUUAUAAGCAUAUAAAAAUUAAUCAAAUUGGUUCAUUUGACGGAACACCAAAUUUAUUUCAAUCAUGUCAAUUAAGUGGGUUAAGCAUAAUAUAUCAUUGCAAAUAUAGGAUGUUUUAAAUUAAAGACAUCAUAUAAUUUAAUCUUAAUUAAGUGGGUUAAACAUAACUGAUCAUUGCAAACAUAAAUGCAGAUCAUAUGCACACUUCAAGUGAAUCAUCACACCGAAUUUUAUAAUGGAACUUUCAUAACCCAUGACAUUUAUAGAAAGAAGAUUACUACUAUUUGAGAAUAGAUAGAAGUGCUAUGGGACAUAAAAGUGCUAUUCAAAAUAUAGGUAGGAGAAAUUUUAGUGAUGAUAGAAGAAUUUUAUGAAGGACAUGAUAGCAAGUUCCAAAAUAGUAUUCUUCAACAUAUGAGAAUUAUUUCUACCUUCCUUUCCUCUCAUCAACCUUCAGUGUAUAAGCCUUUUCUAGACCAAUCUCAUUAUAUCAUAUGAAGCCAAAUUCAAUUUACAAAAACAACCACAUAAAUUAUCAUUAUCAUGACAAUAUGAAGAAAAAAAAGUUUCAAUGCACAAUAAGAAUGCAAGAGUACAUUAGGAUAUACUUUAAAGAAAAACAUCAAUACAUAGACUCAAUCUAUUUCUCUCUUCCUCUAAACAAUAAUUAAAAAAUAAUCACAGCUCCUUUUUUCCAUUAAUUUGGUUGAUAACUUCAAACUCCAGGUCCCUCCCU